rnacentral:rRNA from 1 species
GACGAACGCUGGCGGCGUGCUUAACACAUGCAAGUCGAACGGUAAGGCCCUUCGGGGUACACGAGUGGCGAACGGGUGAGUAACACGUGGGUGAUCUGCCCCGCACUUCGGGAUAAGCCUGGGAAACUGGGUCUAAUACCGGAUAGGACCACUGCCUGCAUGGGUGGUGGUGGAAAGCUUUUGCGGUGUGGGAUGGGCCCGCGGCCUAUCAGCUUGUUGGUGGGGGGAUGGCCUACCAAGGCGACGACGGGUAGCCGGCCUGCGGGGGUGACCGGCCACACUGGGACUGGAAUACGGCCCAGACUCCUACGGGGGGCAGCAGUGGGGAAUAUUGCACAAUGGGCGCAAGCCUGAUGCAGCGACGCCGCGUGAGGGAUGACGGCCUUCGGGUUGUAAACCUCUUUCAGCACCGACGAAGCGCAAGUGACGGUAGGUGCAGAAGAGGGACCGGCCAACUACGUGCCAGCCGCCGCGGUAA